UACGGAGGGAGCUAGCGUUGUUCGGAAUUACUGGGCGUAAAGCGCACGUAGGCGGCUUUGUAAGUUAGAGGUGAAAGCCCGGGGCUCAACCCCGGAACUGCCUUUAAGACUGCAUCGCUUGAAUCCAGGAGAGGUGAGUGGAGUUCCGAGUGUAGAGGUGAAAUUCGUAGAUAUUCGGAAGAACACCAGUGGCGAAGGCGGCUCACUGGCCUGGUAUUGACGCUGAGGUGCGAAAGCGUGGGUAGCAAACGGG
rnacentral:rRNA from 1 species